rnacentral:rRNA from 1 species
AGCGAACGCUGGCGGCAGGCUUAACACAUGCAAGUCGAGCGGGCACUUUCGGGUGUCAGCGGCGGACGGGUGAGUAACGCGUGGGAACGUGCCCUCUGGUUCGGAAUAACUCAGGGAAACUUGAGCUAAUACCGGAUACGCCCUUUUGGGGAAAGGCUUGCUGCCGGAGGAUCGCCCCGCGUCUGAUUAGCUAGUUGGUGAGGUAACGGCUCACCAAGGCGACGAUCAGUAGCUGGUCUGAGAGGAUGAUCAGCCACACUGGGACUGAGACACGGCCCAGACUCCUACGGGAGGCAGCAGUGGGGAAUAUUGGACAAUGGGCGCAAGCCUGAUCCAGCCAUGCCGCGUGAGUGAUGAAGGCCUUAGGGUUGUAAAGCUCUUUUAUCCGGGACGAUAAUGACGGUACCGGAGGAAUAAGCCCCGGCUAACUUCGUG